CGGAGGGUGCAAGCGUUGUUCGGAAUUACUGGGCGUAAAGGGCGCGCAGGCGGCCUGCCAAGUCAGAUGUGAAAUGCCAUGGCUUAACCAUGGACGUGCACUUGAAACUGGAGGACUUGAGUUAAGGAGAGGAAAGUGGAAUUCCUAGUGUAGAGGUGAAAUGCGUAGAUAUUAGGAGGAACACCAGUGGCGAAGGCGGCUUUCUGGACAGUAACUGACGCUGAGGCGCGAAAGCGUGGGGAGCAAACAGGAUUAGAUA
rnacentral:rRNA from 1 species